rnacentral:rRNA from 1 species
ACCUCAGUAACGGCGAGUGAAGCGGUAACAGCUCAAAUUUGAAAUCUGGCCUCACGGUCCGAGUUGUAAUUUGUAGAGGAUGCUUCGAGCAUGGUCUGGCCUAAGUUCCUUGGAACAGGACGUCAUAGAGGGUGAGAAUCCCGUAUGCGGCCAGGUGCCUACGCUCAUGUGAAGCUCCUUCGACGAGUCGAGUUGUUUGGGAAUGCAGCUCAAAAUGGGUGGUAAAUUUCAUCUAAAGCUAAAUAUUGGCCAGAGACCGAUAGCGCACAAGUAGAGUGAUCGAAAGAUGAAAAGCACUUUGGAAAGAGAGUUAAACAGUACGUGAAAUUGUUGAAAGGGAAGCGCUUGCAACCAGACUUGCGCGCGGCCGAUCAUCCGGUGUUCUCACCGGUGCACUCGGCCGUGCUCAGGCCAGCAUCGGUUUUGGCGGCUGGAUAAAGGCCCUAGGAAUGUGGCUCCUCUCGGGGAGUGUUAUAGCCUAGGGUGCAAUGCAGCCUGCUGGGACCGAGGACCGCGCUUCGGCUAGGAUGCUGGCGUAAUGGUUGUAAGCGGCCCGUCUUGAAACACGGACCAAGGAGUCUAACAUCUAUGCGAGUGUUUGGGUGUCAAACCCAUACGCGUAAUGAAAGUGAACGGAGGUGAGAACCCUUAAGGGUGCAUCAUCGACCGAUCCUGAUGUCUUCGGAAGGAUUUGAGUAAGA